rnacentral:rRNA from 1 species
UGGUGGAGUGAUUUGUCUGGUCAAUUCCAUAAACGAACGAGACCUCAGCCUACUAACUAGUUGCAUAUAGUCUUCAUGAUUAUAUGUUUUCAACUUCUUAGAGGGACUUUCAGUGCUCAACUGAAGGAAGUUUGAGGCAAUAACA